rnacentral:rRNA from 1 species
CCUACGGGAGGCUGCAGUGAGGAAUAUUGGUCAAUGGCCGCAGGGCUGAACCAGCCAAGUCGCGGGAGGGAUGACGGUCCGAUGGAGGGUAAACCGCAGUUGUCAGGGAGCAAAGGGCGCCACGUGUGGCGUUUUGCGAGUACCUGACGAAAAAGCAUCGGCUAACUCCGUGCCAGCAGCCGCGGUAAUACGGAGGAUGCGAGCGUUAUCCGGAUUUAUUGGGUUAAAAGGGUGCGCAGGCGGAAUGUCAAGUCAGCGGUAAAAUUUCGGGGCUCAACCCCGUCGUGCCGUUGAAACUGGCGUUCCUGAGUGAGCGAGAGGUAUGCGGAAUGCGUGUUGUAGCGGUGAAAUGCAUAGAUAUCACGCAGAACUCCGAUUGCGAAGGCAGCAUACCGGCGCUCAACUGACGCUCAUGCACGAAAGCGUGGGUAUCGAACAGGAUUAGAUACCCGUGUAGUC